GCCUUGUGGCUAAAAGGUUUCUGUACUCCCUUUGGCUCAGGCUAGGCCAGAGAAAUCUUAUACCCUUUUCCCUCUCUCUUCUUAAUUCUUUUCCUCUAUAUAAAUUAAACCACCAUAAAAAUCCCAAACUGACUUGAGUAUUUUUUUUUGGGUUUGAAUUAAUCCCUGGCAACCAUAAGGAUAAUAUAUUACUCAAAACCCCAGCUUCUUCCUCUCUUAGGAGAAAAAUGUAACUUCCCUCCCCCCAAUCUUCAAAGUCUCCUUCCUUUCUUAGACACUAUGAAGCUAGUCACUUGCUCUUAAGAACAGCUAUUUAUUCUAAGGGAACAAUUGAAGGGUAGGGCAAUUGAAUUGAGGAAUAAGGUAUUGCGAAAGAGGGAGCGGGAGGUCCUUAAAAGUAACUGAACCCCUUUUCCCCAAAGUCUGACAAGAUCAGGUUUUGUUUGCCCGAUUCCUCCCCCAACCUCACCCGGGGUCAGUUGUGAAGAUGUCUAUUAUAACAAGUUCAAGGACUUCAGGGGAUUCAGAGGAAUUCAUUCUUCUUAUAGUGAACAGCUUCCUGUUGAAGUCCUAUUCAUUCUGCUUGUCUUCUCUGGAACUGGACUAGGAGUCACAGGAGAAGAGUGCUAGUCCAGAGGUCCACUUAGGUCGUUUUUUGUUAGGCUUCCCAGAAAGAAGUUGAGGGACAUCCAAAUUGAAAAUUGCCUUGAGAAAUUCAGCCAGAAAAAAAUGCCAAGGCCCAGCUACAGACAGAUAAACUUCAAACCUGGCCAAGGCCUCGCCCCAGACAGGUAAGCUUUGGACCUUGUGCUGGGUCCUGUCCAAGGUCCCUGAUAAACUUCAGCACCAAGACCCCAGGUGCAAAAAUCAACUUUCCAACAAGGGCACGCAACAGAUAAUGGACUGGAAGGAGGAAGGGAGGGGGAGUAUUCAUGCUGAAAAAUAUUUAAGACUGAAUAUUCAGGAGGGAAAUCGGAACUCUGAUAGCAGAUGUUCCCAUUGGUGCACACCAGUCCCAUAAUAAAGGACCCUUUGUAUGUUGACAUUGUCCUCAGUCUUCCAUGGUGGUGGGUGAAAUCCCGGACCUUAAAAUUUGGGGGCUUUCCCAUACCCCUCUACCUUGGAACCCCCCAGAAAAGAGGCCCUAAGGCACUGCCUUGGACCGGAUCUUCAGGCAUCAGAGUGCUCACAACUCGAGGAGCAUUCAUCGAGGUACGGAAUCACAAAGAUGUGACCCUGCAGGUGGCCUCUGAGGGUAAGAAACCUCUUUUAUUCCAAUUUCUCAUUUAAGAAAUUAUUUAGAACCAUAGGUCAAUCAGCCUCAUCAUAUACCUGUUACCUUAGACGGUUAAUGUCUCUAAUUGAACAGAAAGGUAAUAAGAUUUCUGAAGCAUUACUUAAGCAGGCACCGAAAGCAUGCCCCAACUUUCCAGCUACAGGAGUGCUAAAAGUACAGGAAUGGGAUCUUAUUGGUGAAAAAAUGAAGCAAUAUCAGAAAGAAGGACAGAAAAUAUCACAAGUUAGAUGGAAUACCUGGGA
rnacentral:lncRNA from 1 species